ensembl:lncRNA
GUAACUGAAGGGCCUUACGGGCGGACCGAGGGGCAUGGUCAGAGUGAGGGAGAUAGGAAGACGCACAGUGUUUGAGUAAACCUUCCAGAUUGAGUUUCAGUUUCCAGGGCUAAAUCAUAGGGAACAAAUGGUGGGGGAGGCAGGGCUUUGACUAGACAGAAGAAUGGGCAAGAAUGCUCUGGAAGUGGAGUGAGGAAUUAGGAGGUCAAAUUCUUGCUAACAUUACCUCUGGGACUUCUUCACAAGUUGAAUAAUAAUUCAUAGUUUUCUUGAGCCUCAUAUAUAGUGAAAUUUACUUGCACUUCUACCCAUAAUUGUUGAGUAGAAUGAUUAGAACAUUCGUCUCUGUUAAUUGACCAUUUACUAUAUAUUGUCUUAUUCUCAAUGUCCAAGUCUAAUAUCUCGUUAAAAACUUUUACCCACAUCUUCUUUUCCAAAAAUUUAUCUCAGUAUAACAUUUAUAGACCAAACAUUUUUUAAAAUGUGUUUUGUUUGGCUAUAGGACAAAGGAUUAGGUUUUUGACAAGGAAUCACAGAUAUGUUUUAAUGAUAGGCAGUGUAUUCUUCAUAUAUAGAAUAUCAUAUUUUACCUCAAAAUCCCAACUCAAACCAUUUUGGUCUAUUGAAAGGAUAAAAUGGGAUGAUGGUUUGGAAGCUGUUUUUUGUGAACUUUAAGGUGUAGAUUAUUGUAAAUAAUUAUAACUAUCGGAAAGAGUACACUAUUACAUUUUAUGUCUGAGUCUCAGCCUUCUCCCUCCACAGUUAUAGGGUAGGAACUGCAUGUCAACUUGGAAUCGGACUCUGUUUUGAGCCAUUUAAUUUAGACACUUAUUAUUUUAAUGUAAGCGCUUUUACUUUGGCAGUCGACAUGCAGUUCUAAUUAGCGCUUGGAACACAGCAGAGUAGGUUGAUGAGGUACAAGACAUGAAAAAAUACGUUCUUAAUGGCCUGCCCGAGGACUCUGGCAGCAUCCAGGAAAGACGCUUUCGGCACAGUGCUCGAUGCUUCUGAGAAAUCAUCUUCACUGGCACUUACACUCUUAUAAAUUUAAUCGCUUCGGUGUUUUGAAAAUGUCAAAAUAUUGGCAUUAGCAGCUUUGUCAUCUAUACCACAGAGAGAACAGUAAUUUCUUAAGCUCAUUCUGAUGUAGCAACUGAUGUUUAAGAAAACUAAACUUGUUUUCUCCAUCUGCCCAGGAUUCGCUUCCCAACUUUGCCAGUCAAGCUCUUACUCAUCCUUUAAACCCUAGUUAGAAUAUCUCCCCCCACAGUCGUCCCUCCCUUUCCCCCGUGGCCAUUCCCUUUUCUGUAUAUACGCAUUGUCUGAAUAUCUACAUCUACAUGACCACACUGAGUUGUAGUCACUUUUUAAUGCAUUAGUCUCCCCUGUUGACUCUCAAUGUCAUAUUUGUAGAACUGUGUCCCCACAUCUGAAUUUUGGUUGCAUCCAAUUAAAAUGCACUGCAUGGUGGAAUAAAAAGAACACUCACUUUAUAGUUAAACUCUUAUAGGUUAAAUCUUAACUGCUAUUUACUUGCUAUGGGAACUUGACCAAGUCACUUAACUUCUUUGAGCGUCUUCAAAUAAGAGUAGUAAAGCCUGCUCCGCAGGAUUGUUGAAGAUUACAUAAGAUCCAUCCAUCAGUUUACCAAAUAUGGAGAGAUCCUGUUACAUGUGAGCCACGUUACUUGGUACUAAGAAUAUAGUAGUCAAUAAGGCAUGAUCCUGCCCUGAGAACUUUAUAAUUUAGUGGGAAAGACAGACAAGAAAACAGCCCAUUGCAAUAUAAUUCUUUCUUUUUUUUCCGGAGGUACUGAGAUUGACAUCUCUUAUCAACAGGUACUCUUUGUUUUGGCAAGGAAGGAUUCACCCUGAGCUAACAUCUGUUGCCAAUCUUCCUCUUUUUUCUUCUCCCCAAAGCCCCAGUGCAUGGUUGUCUGUCCUAGCUGUAGGUCCUUCUAGUUCUUCUCUGCGAUCUGCUGCCACAGCGUGGCAACCAACAGGCGAGUGGUGUGGUUCCACGACCGGGAAACAAACCCGGGACACUGAAGCAGUGAGAGUGCUGGACUUGAACCACUAGGCCGUCAGGGCUGGCUCUGCAAUAUAACUCUUGAAGGAUGAAUAGGAAUUCUCUAGCACAAGGGUUCUAGGGGGCAGGGUGAAGGCAGCAGGGUUUAGGGUGAAAGGGGAAGCAUGUGUGCUGCCAGAGAAAGUUGACAAGUCAAGACAUGGAGAGAGGCAUAAUAUAGCAGUAGCUGUGGGGUUGAGGCUAGAGAUGUAAAUACCAUGCGGGACCUCACAAGCCAGGCUCAGGGCAGGGGGAACCUGUGAGGAGUAGAUGAUCAGGUUUGCCUUUCAGAAAGAUCUCCUUCCUUGGCAGGGUGUGGAGUGGUUUGAGAUAGUCAAGGGAAUCAGUACAACCAGUUCAGAGGCUGUUGCCUUGAAGAGGUGAUGGCCCCUAUAGCAGGAGUUGCGGUGGGAAUGAGGUAAUGAGAACGUAUUGAGAGAUUUAGGAGGAAGAUAAGGCAGGAUGUGAUCCAACGUGUUGGUGAAAAGGAGAUAAGGAAAGGAGAGGAGUCAGGGAGAAGAAACAAGAGAAGUGGUUUGGAGUGUAGUGGGGAAUAGAAAGUCCAGUUUGGAACCUGUGGGGUUUGAAGUACCCAUGGGAAGUGUGGGACAUCUCGAGUUCAUCAUCUUGAACUCAUGCAUAUUUUGACCCAGCUGGUUUUUUGUUUUUGAAUAUAAACAUUUCCCCUAGGAUGAUAUCAACACUGAUGAAUUUUGUGGCAAAGAUUUAUUCCAGGGUGAACUCCAUUAAGGCAAUUUAAUUCCUUGAUCCAUUUUCUAUAUUGCAUAUUUAAACUGUUUACAAUUGUUUCCACUUUCAUUUUUAUUUUACCAACAUUAUCUCCAUCAAGAUAAAAUCAUUCUCCUGUUCAUUUUAAAAGGAAGCUGGCUCUUUCAACUUUUUUUUCUUCAUCUUUGUCAAAUUUUUAGAGAUUAUAGCUUUCUCCAUGAAUCAAAAUGGCAUACUUCAGCCUAUGGAUGGCCAAGGGGAGAUGUCCGUGAAAGAGGGAGAGAGACUUGAGCAUGGUUAAGCACUGAUAAGUUGGAGAGAGAGUUGGAAUGGGAUUCCUGAAGAGUGCAUUAGGACCCCAGUCCUUUCCAGGAGCCGGGAGCUGACAUCAGUCUUGCUGCCUAAAGCUCCGUAUCCAGCACUUACUAGCACCAGGCACUGUAGCAAGCAAUGGAGGUUAAAACAUGAAGAGACACUGUCCCAGCCCUCUCGGAGCUCACGUUCCAGCAGGAGGAAGCUGCACAGAUGUUGAAACGACUACUACAGGAUGAGAUGUUAAACUGGAAAGAAAACUUACAGACCUACAGGAACACAAUGACAGUAACAUCUUUAUAUUCUCACAACCCAGAGAUAUAAAAUGUGUGUGUAAGAUGGAGAUACAGCUUCUGCAUUUUCAAAAUGCUCAGAUGCCUGCAUGUGAAAGGCAGAGAGGAGAACCAGGACUCUCAGAGGAGAUGAAUUUUGACUCCAGACUGACUGGAACCAUCAGGAACUGGUGACUUGUGACCACAGCUUGUCCCGAGCGGACUCACUGCUGCCUCUGUGGUCUGCUGCUCCCAAUCCCUGGAAUCCAUCAAUUUGUUGUCUCUGAGCGUUAUGGACUGCGUGUUCACGUCGCCCCAAUUAAUACAUUGAAACCCUAACUCCCAACAGAGUGGUAUUAGGAGAUGGGGCUUUUGGGACAUAAUUAGGUCAUGAGGAUGGGGCCCCCAUGAUGGAGAUUAGUGCCCUUAUAAGAAGAGGAAGACAGCUAGCUCUCUGCUGUCUCUGCCAUGUGAGGAUACAGCAAGAUGUCCUCUGCCAGCCAGGAAGAGAGCCCUCAGCAGAUAUUAGAUCUGCCCGUGCCUUGAUCUUGGACUUUCUAGCCUCCAGAACUGUGAGAAACAAAUGUUUACUGAUUAAGCCACCCAGUCUAUGGUAUUUUUUU